AUCUGAAAAAAAGAAAGAUUGGUUCAAACCAAUGUCAUUGAACUACUGCUUCAUUUUUCUCCUUUCACAACCAAGCAUGUGAAGUCUACAUAGAACAUAAACCAUGAUAAAGGGAAGACCUCAUUCUGACUUGAACUUCAUAUUUAGCCAUUUAACCUGAGGCUCAUGACUUGCAGUUUAUUGUUGCUGCAAAUUAAAAUCCACAGGGAGCAGACAUGCAUGGUGGUUUUAUUUUCCAAUGAAUGCACCUGGAUGUUCUUGAAGGACAAAUGUCCAAAUAUCCUGAGGCCCUCUGGAGGAUGCUAUAAUGUCAAGGAACUCACUUACAACUAAGCCAUGGAGUCUUCCAAGCAGUGAACUAAAGGGAAGCAUGUAAAUCAAUCUAGAAAGCAAGUUCAAAAGUUUUGAUGUUUGAAUCAGCACCAUAUUAUUU
rnacentral:lncRNA from 1 species